UGAAAUCAACAGAACUUGAACUUUUUUCUAAAUCAAAAUUUGAUUUAUUGUCUAUAAGCAUCUGUGUAUUUCUAACACUGAGAAGAAAAUGGAUAUUGAGCGAAAUUUGCUGGAAACACUAGUGACUGAAAAACAAAGGCUGAGUACACUACAAAAGUUCACCCUUUGUCUAUUUAGCGCACUUUUGAUCUUCACUAUUAUCAUUUUGAUUGGGCAAUCACACCAAUUAGAUUCCGAAAAAAAGGCCUUCUUUUUCAGAGCUUAAAUGUUGAAGCAAUAUAAUUUAAGCGCGACAGUUAAUUUAUGUAAAGGACUGUUUGGUUUUGUUAUGACCGGAAUUGGCGUAUUCUUUCUGCUCACUUUCAGUAUUUCGACGGUUCUAUCGAUGGAGUUUAUAAUUGAUUGGAUCGACUUAUUUCUCAGAAGUGUUAUUGAAUUUUUAGAUUUGGAUGCGCAAUUGCUUAAAACAGUUAUUAUAACAGAGAAA